rnacentral:rRNA from 1 species
CCUACGGGUGGCAGCAGUGGGGGAUAUUGCACAAUGGGGGAAACCCUGAUGCAGCGACGCCGCGUGAGUGAAGAAGUAUUUCGGUAUGUAAAGCCCUAUCAGCCGGGAAGAAAAAGGACGGUACCUGACUAAGAAGCCCCGGCUAACUACGUGCCAGCAGCCGCGGUAAUACGUAGGGGGCACGCGUUAUCCGGAUUUACUGGGUGUAAAGGGAGCGUAGACGGCAAUGCAAGUCGGAAGUGAAAUACCCGGGCUCAACCCGGGGACUGCUGUGGAAACUGUGAGGCUAGAGUGCUGGAGAGGUAAGCGGAAUUCCUGGUGUAGCGGUGAAAUGCGUAGAUAUUAGGAGGAACACCGGUGGCGAAGGCGGCUUGCUGGACCGUAACUGACGUUGAGGCUCGAAAGCGUGGGGAGCAAACAGGAUUAGAUACCCUGGUAGUC